CAGCCGCCACGGGAAUACGGAGGGGGCUAGCGUUGUUCGGAAUUACUGGGCGUAAAGCGCACGUAGGCGGCUUGGUAAGUUAGAGGUGAAAGCCCGGAGCUCAACUCCGGAAUUGCCUUUAAGACUGCCGAGCUAGUAGGUGAGAGAGGUAAGUGGAAUUCCGAGUGUAGAGGUGAAAUUCGUAGAUAUUCGGAAGAACACCAGUGGCGAAGGCGGCAACCUGGUCCUUGACUGACGCUGAGGCGCGAAAGCGUGGGGAGCAAACAGGAUUAGAUACCCCUGUAGUCCCUGUCUCUUAUAC
rnacentral:rRNA from 1 species